GCCAUCAGAUAUGCCACCUCAAUUAAUGAGGGAGAUCUGAUGGCCCUUGUUUUUUUUUAAUUUCUUAUUUUUAUGUUUAAUCCUUUUAUUUUGUUAAAUUCAUAUUAAUUUCAUUUUUAAUCCAAAAAAUAUUGGACUUUCACCAAAAAACUUUAAAUAUUUAUCUCUUUCAUUUUCUGAAUUAAAAUUAUUUUCUGGAUUAAUUUUGAUAUUUUUC
rnacentral:lncRNA from 1 species